rnacentral:rRNA from 1 species
AUUGAACGCUGGCGGCAGGCCUAACACAUGCAAGUCGAGCGGAUGAAGGGAGCUUGCUCCUGGAUUCAGCGGCGGACGGGUGAGUAAUGCCUAGGAAACUGCCUGGUAGUGGGGGAUAACGUCCGGAAACGGGCGCUAAUACCGCAUACGUCCUGAGGGCGAAAGUGGGGGAGCUUCGGACCUCACGCUAUCAUAUGAGCCUAGGUCGGCUUAGCUAGUUGGUGGGGUAAAGUCCUACCAAGGCGACGAUCCGUAACUGAUCUGAGAGGAUGAUCCGUGACACUGGAAGUGAGACACGGUCCAGAGUCCUACGGGACGCAGCAGUGGGGAAUAUUGGACAAUGGGCGAAAGCCUUAUCCAGCGAUGCCGCGUGUGUGAAGAAGGUCUUCGGAGUGUAAAGCCCUUUAAGUUGGGAGGAAGGGCAGUAAGUUAAUACCUUGCUGUUUUGACGGUACCAACAGAAUAAGCACCGGCUAACUUCGUG